CCUACGGGUGGCUGCAGUGGGGAAUAUUGGACAAUGGGCGAAGGCCUGAUCCAGCCAUGCCGCGUGUGUGAAGAAGGCCUUCGGGUUGUAAAGCACUUUCAGUGGGGAAGAAAGCCUUGGGGCUAAUACCCUCGAGGAAGGACAUCACCCACAGAAGAAGCACCGGCUAACUCCGUGCCAGCAGCCGCGGUAAUACGGAGGGUGCGAGCGUUAAUCGGAAUUACUGGGCGUAAAGCGCGCGUAGGCGGUCUGAUAAGCCGGUUGUGAAAGCCCCGGGCUCAACCUGGGAACGGCAUCCGGAACUGUCAGGCUAGAGUGCAGGAGAGGAAGGUAGAAUUCCCGGUGUAGCGGUGAAAUGCGUAGAGAUCGGGAGGAAUACCAGUGGCGAAGGCGGCCUUCUGGACUGACACUGACGCUGAGGUGUGAAAGCGUGGGUAGCAAACAGGAUUAGAUACCCUGGUAGUC
rnacentral:rRNA from 1 species